GUGGCUCAAGGAGUAGGGCGCUGGUCCCAUAUACCAGUGGUAGCGGGUUCAAACCCUGCC
rnacentral:tRNA from 1 species